UACGGAGGGGGCUAGCGUUGUUCGGAAUACUGGGCGUAAAGCGCGCGUAGGCGGCUUUGUAAGUUAGAGGUGAAAGCCCGGAGCUCAACUCCGGAAUUGCCUUUAAGACUGCAUCGCUAGAAUCAUGGAGAGGUGAGUGGAACUGCGAGUGUAGAGGUGAAAUUCGUAGAUAUUCGCAAGAACAUCAGUGGCGAAGGCGGCUGGCCUGGCCCCAAUACUGACACUCAGGUGCGA
rnacentral:rRNA from 1 species